rnacentral:rRNA from 1 species
AAGCUCGUAGUUGAAUUUCGGGCUUAUCAGGUUGGACGUGCCAAUGGUAUGUACCGGCCUUGCUGAUUCCUCCCUCUUGAUGAGCCGUAAUGCCAUUAAUUUGGUGUUGCGAGGAAUCAGGACUGUUACUUUGAAAAAAUUACAGUGUUUAAAGCAGGCAAGCGCUUGAAUACAUUAGCAUGGAAUAAUGAAAUAGGACGUUUGAUCUUAUUUUGUUGGUUUCUAAGAUUGACGUAAUGAUUAAUAGGGAUAGUUGGGGGCAUUAGUAUUCAAUUGUCAGAGGUGAAAUUCUUGGACUUAUUGAAGACUAACUACUGCGAAAGCAUUUGCCAAGGAUGUUCUCAUUAAUCAAGAACGAAAGUUGGGGGCUCGAACACGACUACAUACUGUCCUAGUCUCAACCAUAAACGAUGCCGACCACGGAUCAGCCGGUGUUACUAAUAGGACUCAUUCGGCGCCUUACGGGAAACCAAAGUGUUUGGGUUCCGGGGGGAGUAUGGUCGCAAGGCUGAAACUUAAAGGAAUUGACGGAAGGGCACCACCAGGGGUGGAGCCUGCGGCUUAAUUUGACUCAACACGGAGAAA